rnacentral:rRNA from 1 species
AGGGUUUGAUCCUGGCUCAGAACGUACGCUGGCGGCACGCCUAACACAUGCAAGUCGAACGCAGUAGCAAUACUGAGUGGCAGACGGGUGAGUAACAUGUGGGAAUCUGCCUUGUGGUUCAGGACAACAUUGGGAAACCGAUGCUAAUACUGGAUAAGCCCUUACGGGGAAAGUUUUAAUGCCAUAAGAUGAGCCCGCAUUUGAUUAGUUAGUUGGUGAGGUAAUGGCUCACCAAGACAAUGAUCAAUAGCUGAUCUGAGAGGAUGAUCAGCCACACUGGGACUGAGACACGGCCCAGACUCCUACGGGAGGCAGCAGUGGGGAAUCUUGCACAAUGGAGGAAACUCUGAUGCAGCGAUGCCGCGUGAGUGAAGAAGGCCUUUGGGUUGUAAAGCUCUUUUGUAGGGGAAGAUAAUGACUGUACCCUAAGAAUAAGGUCCGGCUAACUUCGUGCCAGCAGCCGCGGUAAUACGAAGGGACCUAGCGUAGUUCGGAAUUACUGGGCGUAAAGCGCGCGUAGGCCGUUGAGUUAGUUAAUUGUGAAAUCCCAAAGCUUAACUUUGGAACUGCAAUUAAAACUGCUCGACUAGAGUUUGAUAGAGGAAAGCGGAAUACAUAGUGUAGAGGUGAAAUUCGUAGAUAUUAUGUAGAACACCAGUUGCGAAGGCGGCUUUCUGGAUCAACACUGACGCUGAGGCGCGAAAGUAUGGGUAGCAAAGAGGAUUAGAUACCCUCGUAGUCCAUACCAUAAACGAUGAUUGCUAGAUGUUGGAAAUUUAUUUUCAGUAUCGCAGCUAACGCAUUAAGCAAUCCGCCUGGGGAGUACGACCGCAAGGUUAAAACUCAAAUGAAUUGACGGGGACCCGCACAAGCGGUGGAGCAUGUGGUUUAAUUCGAAGAUACGCGCAGAACCUUACCAACCCUUGACAUGUCUGUCGCGAGUUUAGGAAACUAGACUUUUCGGUUCGGCCGGACAGAACACAGGUGCUGCAUGGCUGUCGUCAGCUCGUGUCGUGAGAUGUUGGGUUAAGUCCCGCAACGAGCGCAACCCCUACUUUUAGUUGCCAUCAGGUCAUGCUGGGCACUCUGAAAGAACUGCCAGUGAUAAGCUGGAGGAAGGUGGGGAUGACGUCAAGUCCUCAUGGCCCUUAUGGGUAGGGCUUCACACGUCAUACAAUGGUGCGUACAGAGGGUUGCCAACCCGCGAGGGGGAGCUAAUCUCUUAAAACGCAUCGUAGUCCGGAUCGUAGUCUGCAACUCGACUACGUGAAGCUGGAAUCGCUAGUAAUCGCGGAUCAGCAUGUCGCGGUGAAUACGUUCCCGGGUCUUGUACACACCGCCCGUCACACCAUGGGAGUGGGUUUUGCCAGAAGCAGUUAGCCUAACCGCAAGGGGGGCGAUUGCCACGGCAGGGUUCAUGACUGGGGUGAAGUCGUAACAAGGUAGCCGUA